AAGCAAUUGAGGCGAAUGGCAGUGAAAGAACAACCAUAAGGAGAAAAUGUAUGUGCUUAUUGUAAGUUAGUUCGUAUCUAGCCACGCAGGUACGUCGAAAAUGACACCAGAGCAGCAAAUGAGCAACAAGAGGCAACCAUCAGGCGAAGUUACGUUGACGAAGGCGAGUUGCGAGAAUAGACUCAAAGUCUUUGGGUAAUUGGAGCCCAAGCUAAUGCACCCGCUGGGUGUCACACUGUUGUUUGAAUUAUUGAUUACAGGAAACUCAAGGAAAAGGUUGGUACCUACAAAAGAUGCUUGUAAACAGUUGGUAUGCCAUUUAUGCGAAACUCCAUGGACUUUCUCAUACCAAACAGCGCUCACACUCAACUACUUGUACUUUAUCAUAUAUUGGAUUUCCAAAAUACAAAAACCGACCAUGCCAUGGGAAUUGGAGAUAAUGAUGGGCUGUGUUGAAAAAAUAAAGUACGAAAAAGGAUAAAUAGAGUAUUAGGAAUGAGAUAAGCGAAAAGUUUAAUAUAACCCAAUAACUUAGUCAAUAUUUUAAUGAAAAAAAUAUUAAAAGAUUGUGGGUGCACUAUGUAGGUGGUGUUUUUUAAGACCUUCAGAACUUAAGAUGAUAACACAAAACGGAAAUAUUGUUGUUAUGUAUUUUAUUAUAAGCUUGUGGAUAAUUUCAUUUUUUUUUUUAUAUGAUAGUUACAUGAUCCAUUUGAUCAGUUCAAUUUUUGAAAAUUUUUACCAAAAAAUCUGAAUAAUAAAUCUAAGGGAGCCCAAUCAGUAAAAAUGUGAUGCAGCAAACGAUGAUCGUUUGGAUUAAAUUCUUGCACGAACUGUAUUUUAUGGGUCAAAUGGAAUGGGUGAAAGCAUAAAAGCAAAUAAAAAUAAACCGCAUAAAAUGGAUGGCAAACACGCACAAAAGAACUGUCGAAAAGCAUUGAUAUAUAUUAGUGGUAUUCCCAGGUUGGAGCAAAUUCAAAUGAGGAAAUAUAUGUAAUUUACCAAUAAUAAGUACUCUUAUGCAAACAGGAGAAAAUCAACGAUAUGCGCACAAACUAAAUAGCAAAAAUUAAUGAAAUCAACGUGGAGGCUAUUACCAUAAAUAAGUCCUUGUUUUGGUAUUUGUUGGAUAGGAGACUGUCGUUCGAUUGGUCCGAGAUUUGAUGCAGAAUGUUGGCGUAACCACUCAAAUGAUGAAGCGGUGAACUGGAUAACUUUCGAGUGCAUUUCCGCUAUUAAAAAACUCUAUAACAACCACAUGAAACUUGGCCUAAUACGAAGACUGCCUUUUAUAUUGUAUUUUAUGCCC